rnacentral:rRNA from 1 species
AUACGGAGGAUGCAAGCGUUAUCCGGAUUUAUUGGGUUUAAAGGGUGCGUAGGCGGUUUGCUAAGCGGGAGGUGAAAUGCCGGCGCUCAACGUCGGAAGUGCCUCCCGAACUGGUGGACUGGAAUGACUCUGCCGUGGGAGGAAUGUGUAGUGUAGCGGUGAAAUGCUUAGAGAUUACACAGAACACCGAUUGCGAAGGCAUCUCACGAAGGGUUGAUUGACGCUGAGGCACGUAAGCGUGGGGAUCAAACAGGAUUAGAUACCCUGGUAGUCCACGCAGUAAACGAUGAUGGCUAACCGCUGGUUUAUUCGGAUCAGUGGCCAAGCGAAAGCGAUAAGCCAUCCACCUGGGGAGUACGACCGCAAGGUUGAAACUCAAAGGAAUUGACGGGG